GUCUUUGCCAAUCUCGUUCCCCGAGCCUGCGAUCCUUGGGAAGGAAACGAAGGCUCUGGGAUAAUCCAUCUCAGACAUACAGAAAACUGUAUGUCGACCGAACUGCGCAUGCGUUGCCAAAAGCAAAACAAAUCGGUUUGAAAUAUUUUAUUGUUUCGUCUAUAAAAUGAUUAUUUUUUCGGGGUUUUGGUGCAAAUGUUGAUGUUCUUCAUAGUGGGAUACAAAAGGUGUGUUAGCGACUGAAUAAGGAAAAUAUUGCGUGUGAAACAGGGUCAGUAUAGAGCCGGCAGGAGCCGCGAAGAGUGCUGUUGUCGAAGAAAAAUGUCACAAUUAAUUGUAAUCUUGUCCAUUUACCUCUGUGUCAGUUUGAAAAAGCUUUAAAUGUAGAGACAUUUGUGGUUCCUCCAGCAUAAUUUAGCCGUUUAACGCUAUUAUGUUUCUAAUGGUUGAAAGAGCGCGUGGAAAGGGCAAUUUUCAAGAACAAAAACAAUUACAAUGUACUGUGUAUUAAUUGCUACUGUAGUAUUAAAAUACCUGAAGAGUCUCAAUUCUAAUAUUAAGUCGUUUAUAAACCUUGAUAAUAUUAAAGUUUUCAGAAGAUUUGUAUAUCAGAGGAAUAUUAAAAGGAAUUUAGACUAUAAAACAUAUCAUUAAAAAUAUGAAUAUAGUGAAUUCCAUGUUUGUAUUGUGUUAUCAUCUCUAGAAAUUAACAAUUUAUAAACCAAAUCCUUGUUAUAUUUUUUAACUGCCCUUAUAGCUUUCCUUUAAUAUUUGCAAGCAGUUUAGUAGGUUAGGGAUGCAACAGCAUUUUUCAAAUUAUUGAAUUUUAACCAAAUUUUGUGUCUGGAUAGGAAUUUUACUAUUAAAGAUUUACAGUUUGUAAUGAUAGAGUUGGAGCAAGUUAAGCUGCAAUGUGCCUCAGUUUGCCCUACUUUGUUAUUUUAAGCUGUUUAAUGCCAGAAUUUUUUCUCGUCAAGGGGAAAGUAUUGGACUUUGAUAUUGGUAUUUGAAUGGGUUAACCAGUCCAUCUGCAUGUCUACCAGCUAUCUUUGGUUAAUUAUCUCAUUAGAUCAUUAAGCCACAAUGCUCUUAGUGCACCUUUUUUGUUAUUUCACUGUACUUCUGGACAAUAUUUCUCACCAAUGGCCAG